GCAGGUUGAAGCGCGGGUAAGACCGCGUGGAGGACCGAACCCACCUGGGUUGAAAACCGGGGGGAUGACUUGGGGCUAGGGGUGAAAGGCCAAUCAAAUUCCGUGAUAGCUGGUUCUCUCCGAAAUGCAUUUGGGUGCAGCGUCGGGUCAUUACGUCCCGGGGGUAGAGCUACUGGAUGCUUGCGGGCCCGUAUCGGGUACCAACAGCAACCAAACUCCGAAUACCGGUGACGCGUAUCCCGGCAGUGAGUCGGCGGGGGAUAAGCUUCGUCGUCGAAAGGGAAACAGCCCAGACCGUCGUCUAAGGUCCCGAAGCGUGUGCUAAGUGGGAAAGGAUGUGGAGUCGCAUAGACAGCCAGGAGGUUGGCUCAGAAGCAGCCACCCUUGAAAGAGUGCGUAACAGCUCACUGGUCUAGUGGUUCCGCGCCGACAAUGUAGCGGGGCUCAAGCACACCACCGAAGACGCGGCAGUAUUUUGUACUGGGUAGGAGAGCGUCCCAUGAGGGGCGAAGCGGCCGUGUGAACGCGCCGUGGACUUCAUGGGAGUGAGAAUGCAGACAUGAGUAGCGAGAGACGGGUGAAGAUCCCGUCCGCUGGAUGACCAAGGGUUCCAGGGCCACGUUCAUCGUCCCUGGGUGAGUCGGGUCCUAAGGCGAGGCCGACAGGCGUAGUCGAAUGGAUGAACGGGUCGAUAUUCCCGUACCGGCUUUCAGCCGCCAAAACCGAGGCUUGGAGUACUAACCUCCGGGUCCGGGCUUACUGCUCCUUCGGGGGCGGGAUGCCCUGGCCUGUUGGGACCGAUCCUUGUAGUAGGUCAGCGCAGGAGUGACGCAGAAGGGUAGCCGGCCGCGGAGGUGGUCUUCCGUGGUCAAGCACGCAGGGCGUGGGACAGGCAAAUCCGUCCCGCAUGGGUCCGAGGUGCGAUGAUGGGGGCCUUAUGGCCCGAUAUCCGGUGAUCCCGGCUGCCGAGAAAAGCUUCGGCGUCAGGCUCAAAGCCGCCCGUACCCCAAACCGACACUGGUGGUCAGGUAGAGAAUACCAAAGCGAUCGAGCGAAUCCUGGUCAAGGAACUCGGCAAAUCACUCCCGUUCCUUCGGUUUAAGGGAGACCCCCGAUGGUGAACACGCUUGCUGUGGGAGCUUUUGGGGGUGGCACAGACCAGGGGGUAGCGACUGUUUACCAAAAACACAGGUGCAUGCGAAGGCGCAAGCCGCUGUAUAUGCACUGACGCCUGCCCGGUGCCGGAAGGUUAAGAGGAUCCGUCAGCCUUCGGGUGAAGCGGUGAAUUCAAGCCCCGGUAAACGGCGGUGGUAACUAUAACCAUCCUAAGGUAGCGAAAUUCCUUGUCGGGUAAGUUCCGACCUGCACGAAUGG
rnacentral:rRNA from 1 species